rnacentral:sRNA from 1 species
UUAUAAUUUGCCUAUCAGAAAUAGGGUCUUCUUCCCGGGUUGGACCCCGGGGAGUUUGGGCUUUUCCUACAAUCACUGACCCUCACUGUGACUAAAGGAGCAGAAUUAGGUAACAGUCCUCCCACUACCAAUCCUCUUCCCGAGGGCAUGUAAACUAAUGCAGGGUAAAGGUGUGGCUAGAGGUGGGACCUUGAUAAAAGAUCCCAUGUGACUCAAGAGUAAGGAAAGAUGAGAAGUUAGCAGUUGCGUAAAGAAGGACUGGGGCAGAUGAGGAUUCAGGAAGCUUGAGGUUUAGGAAGGAAGAUAUUGAGAGGGAAAGGUGGAAAUGAAGGAGAGUGAAGUGAUGGAAUGAUCCUAGUAAAGGGAUAAUGGGAGUGGAGGAAGAGAAGAGGGGAUGGAAAACUAGAUACAUGGCUACCAAAUUAAGGAGGCACCCGCAUUCCAGAGGAAUCGGCAUUCUUCCUCACUUUUUAUUUUUCUAGAAAGCACCCCUGAAGCCAAAUUUCCAUUGGAAGAAAAGAUGUACCCAUAUUGUAUGUUGUGAGAAGGGGUUGUCUCAGCUUGGGCAAGUAAGGAGACUGAUAGGAAGGAAGUAGGAAAGAAAAGGUACAGAGGUAAAAGAGCAUGGAAAAGGGUCAGGGAUAAGGCCAAAGAGAUCUCUUCUCUUUAAAGGCCAGAGAAGGCAGGUGGAGGGGGGAGCUGGACUGCUGGGAGAUAGUGAGGGACAAAGGGCAAAGGAAACCAGACCAGAGGACUGGAGAGUGAGAUGGAGUCCUGGAGAGAAAAAAAAGAGAGGUGAACUUAAUGCUUGUCAUAUGGUGGCCAGAAUGGAUUUGUGGCCAGGGGCAUGGAUGCUGCUGCUGCUGCUCUUCCUGCUGCUGCUCUUCCUGCUGCCCACCCUGUGGUUCUGCAGCCCCAGUGCCAAGUACUUCUUCAAGAUGGCCUUCUACAAUGGCUGGAUCCUCUUCCUGGCUGUGCUCGCCAUCCCUGUGUGUGCCGUGCGAGGACGCAACGUCGAGAACAUGAAGUGAGGGUCUGGGUGUUUCCUGAGGGAACGAGAAACCACAAUGGCUCCAUGCUGCCCUUCAAACGUGGCGCCUUCCAUCUUGCAGUGCAGGCCCAGGUUCCCAUUGUCCCCAUAGUCAUGUCCUCCUACCAAGACUUCUACUGCAAGAAGGAGCGUCGCUUCACCUCGGGACAAUGUCAGGUGCGGGUGCUGCCCCCAGUGCCCACGGAAGGGCUGACACCAGAUGACGUCCCAGCUCUGGCUGACAGAGUCCGGCACUCCAUGCUCACUGUUUUCCGGGAAAUCUCCACUGAUGGCCGGGGUGGUGGUGACUAUCUGAAGAAGCCUGGGGGGGGUGGGUGAACCCUGGCUCUGAGCUCUCCUCCCAUCUGUCCCCAUCUUCCUCCCCACACCUACCCACCCAGUGGGCCCUGAAGCAGGGCCAAACCCUCUUCCUUGUCUCCCCUCUCCCCACUUAUUCUCCUCUUUGGAAUCUUCAACUUCUGAAGUGAAUGUGGAUACAGCGCCACUCCUGCCCCCUCUUGGCCCCAUCCAUGGACUCUUGCCUCGGUGCAGUCUCCACUCUUGACCCCCACCUCCUACUGUCUUGUCUGUGGGACAGUUGCCUCCCCCUCAUCUCCAGUGACUCAGCCUACACAAGGGUGGGGAACAUUCCAUCCCCAGUGGAGUCUCUUCCUAUGUGGUCUUCUCUACCCCUCUACCCCACAUUGGCCAGUGGACUCAUCCAUUCUUUGGAACAAAUCCCCCCGACUCCAAAGUCCAUGGAUUCAAUGGACUCAUCCAUUUGUGAGGAGGACUUCUCGCCCUCUGGCUGGAAGCUGAUACCUGAAGCACUCCCAGGCUCAUCCUGGGAGCUUUCCUCAGCACCUUCACCUUCCCUCCCAGUGUAGCCUCCUGUCAGUGGGGGCUGGACCCUUCUAAUUCAGAGGUCUCAUGCCUGCCCUUGCCCAGAUGCCCAGGGUCGUGCACUCUCUGGGAUACCAGUUCAGUCUCCACAUUUCUGGUUUUCUGUCCCCAUAGUACAGUUCUUCAGUGGACAUGACCCCACCCAGCCCCCUGCAGCCCUGCUGCACCAUCUCACCAGACACAAGGGGAAGAAGCAGACAUCACGUGCUGCACUCACUUCUGCCCCCUGGGGAGCUGGGGAUAGGAGGGCUUUUAAUUUAUUUCUUUUUCUGUUGAGGCUUCCCCCUCUCUGAGCCAGUUUUCAUUUCUUCCUGGUGGCAUUAGCCACUCCCUGCCUCUCACUCCAGACCUGUUCCCACAACUGGGGAGGUAGGCUGGGAGCAAAAGGAGAGGGUGGGACCCAGUUUUGCGUGGUUGGUUUUUAUUAAUUAUCUGGAUAACAGCAAAAAACUGAAAAUAAAGAGAGAGAGAGAGA